GACGAACGCUGGCGGCGUGCUUAACACAUGCAAGUCGAACGAAGCAUUUGAGUGGAAGCUUUCGGGUGGAAGCUCAGAUGACUUAGUGGCGGACGGGUGAGUAACGCGUGGGUAACCUGCCUUGUACAGGGGGAUAACAGUUAGAAAUGACUGCUAAUACCGCAUAACCCUUUAGUGCCGCAUGGCACGGAAGGAAAAGAUUUAUCGGUACAAGAUGGACCCGCGUCUGAUUAGCUAGUUGGUGAGGUAACGUCCCACCAAGGCGACGAUCAGUAGCCGACUUGACAGAGUGACCGGCCACAUGGGGACUGAGACACGGCCCAAACUCCUACGGGAGGCAGCAGUGGGGAAUAUUGCACAAUGGGCGCAAGCCUGAUGCAGCAACGCCGCGUGCGGGAUGACGGCCUUCGGGUUGUAAACCGCUUUUAGUAGGGAAGAAGCCUUCGGGUGACGGUACCUGCAGAAAAAGGACCGGCUAACUACGUGCCAGCCGCCGCCGUAAGAC
rnacentral:rRNA from 1 species